UACAGAGGUCUCAAGCGUUGUUCGGAUUCAUUGGGCGUAAAGGGUGUGUAGGUGGCGCCGUAAGUCGGGUGUGAAAUUUCGGAGCUUAACUCCGAAACUGCAUUCGAUACUGCGGUGCUUGAGGACUGGAGAGGAGACUGGAAUUCAUGGUGUAGCAGUGAAAUGCGUAGAGAUCAUGAGGAAGACCGGUGGCGAAGGUGGGUCUCUGGACAGUUCCUGACACUGAGACACGAAGGCCAGGGGAGCAAACGGG
rnacentral:rRNA from 1 species